rnacentral:miRNA from 1 species
UAAUAUAAAGAAAGGGGUUGC